UUUUUUUUUUUUUUUUAAAGAUUUUAUUUAUUUAUUCAUGAUAGUCACACAGAGAGAGAGAGACAGAGAGGCAGAGACACAGGCAGAGGGAGAAGCAGGCUCCAUGCACCGGGAGCCCGACGUGGGAUUCGAUCCCGGGUCUCCAGGAUCGCGCCCUGGGCCAAAGGCAGGCGCCAAACCGCUGCGCCACCCAGGGAUCCCCAAUAUACCUUUUCUAUCCUUGACAGUCAUUUUCUUGGAUGGAAUGGCCUCAAGCAUCGACGUAGUGUCCCCAGCACUUUGUGCCAGUGGGGCUUGGGACAUACCAGUGAUACAGGGCCAUCGGCUUCAGGCUAAGGGUAGGUCCCCGGCCCUUCUGUGGGGCUCAGAAGGAGAAGCGAGGUCCUGGAGCUCCAAAAUCAGAGCUGCAAGUCGGCCUCUGUGUCCAGGGUGGUGGGAGGGCAGAAGCAGAAGCAAGCCUGGGGAACUUCUGCUAUGACAUCAGGUCCUCAAGCUGGAAGACAGACACUUUUGGGGUCCCCAGGGGUCUGACUUCUCUGCCCAGCUAUUGGAGGACAGAGGACCGUGCUAGUCAGAGCUCCAAGGAUGGUAAGUGGCCACCGGGACUGGGUGGGGGCCUCUGAAGCACCGGUGUAGACUUUUCCUCCUGCCCAUCUUGUGCCUCUGAUAAGAACCCCUGGGAAAUCCUCUUCCGUCUCCCAAUACCUGGCUGCACCAGUGUGUCCAGUGUUUCCAGGGAACUGGAACUGCCCACACAGGGGCCUGUCUCUGAAGUAAGUGGGAGGAAGAUGGCUUUUAUGGCUACAGUGUGAGCAUCUGUGUGCCCCUCCAUUGCCCCCGCCCCCACCCGGCCCCAGCUGCCCCCUUCAGGCUGCUGAGGGCAGGUCCACCCAGAGCGAGGCAUAGAAGUUUUUCUCUUCAUGUGUUUGGCAUUUUAUUCAGGCAUUCCUAGGUCUUUGCUUUCCUAUCAGGGACUGUCCUUGUUCCCUAUGCCUCCCCCGUGCUUCACCUCCUCUCCCCGCCCCCUCCCCUCACAGACACUGCUUCAGUCCCGCACCCCUGCCUCCCUAUUGAAGCAGUGAGCUGACAUCCUUGUAGAAACAAAUUAAUUUUUUCUUCCCUUUUUGGGACAGAUGGAAAGAAACUGACGUCUUUGUCUCAAACCAAAAAAAAAAAAAAAAAAAAAAGGAAAGAAGAUACCUCUUCUCCCUUUUGACAGUCAUUUCCUUGGAACAAAAGCCUCUCCCUUGUCUGGGAGACUGUCACUCCAGCAGGGGAAGAACUACCAUUCAGGAGGUUGGGGGUUUAGGCACCAGGAUGGGCUUUGGGCACAUUAGGGGUAGGGAUGCCCUUUAGUAGACAAAGCACAGCCCCAUCUCAGGGUGCAGACCCCAAGAAGCUCCAGAUCUGAGAAUUUUCUUCCUCCAGGAAAUGGCUUCAGUAGCACUUUGGAAGAUGUAAGGCAGUGCUCAGUGCCCAUAGAGACUUCUGUGUUUGAAUGCUUGAGGGGGUGGGGUAUCAGCAAGGCGGGGGUCCCUCCUGGACACUCUUCAUUGUGUGGGACCCUUCCUGCUAAUGCCUUGGAGAGAUGUCAGAGACAGGGGACAAUUUAGGGAUGGGGGAAGACUUCUGAAGAAGGUGACCUUGGAUCCAGGGCUGUUGAUUCUCCCUGCAAGGGCUGUGUCCCCUUCAACCCUCUCUUAAGCUUGCCCUGGACCUGCUCACUGCCAUUUCCAAAGGCUGUAACAGACCUGGCUGCUUUUUACUACUUUUCAUACAUAAAUCUGUCCUGGAGUCAGCAGAGGCUGGGUCCAGACCAUGCGCAUUUAAGGUAAAGCCAGCUUGUACUGAAAUCCGCUUGGUACCAGGCUGUGUACCCCAGGCAUUGGAACUCAGAAAUAAGUCAGAGAUAGCCCUGCCCUCAGGAAAUUCAAGCCCAGCCUGGGACACGAGGCAUCAACAGAUCAUUGCAUCUCAGUGCGAGGCAUGCAGUGACAGGAAGCCCUGGGGAGGAUGGCACGGGAAAGUAUCUUUUCUAGCUUUUUACUAAAACCCAUUUGUAGCAAUUCUAGAAGACAUUGGAAAUAGAGGGCUUUAAAGGAUGUGUAGGAGUUGGCCACCAAGAAGAGGGGACAGCAUGUGCAAAAGCAUGGAAAUGUUAAGGUGCUUGGCGAACCUGAGAAAAGCCAUGUGCAUCUCAAGUAUGGAGCUUAACUGAGCACUUUCGAGUGCCAGGCUCUGUGCCAAGUGCUUUAUGCACAUUUUCCCAUCCAAGCCUCAUGACAGCCAAGUGGAAGUACUAUUACCCUCAUUUUAGACAACAGGUUCAGAGGUCAAGCCACUCACCCCUAGUCACAGAGCCUCAGGUCAGUAGAACUCCAGCAUCCGAGUUUCUGGUGAAUUCCAGGCAUCAUCAAUAUAGAAGAACCUUAGUUGCUGAAACCCCGGAAUGCGGAUUUUUGAAGACUUAAAACCAAAUGGAAAAAUCUGAAGGAAAAGGGCAAUUUUCCCUGAACUUUUGUUCCUCCUGGAGCUCUCCAAAUCUUCACAUUUCAGAAUGUACUGUGCAUGAUGCACUUUAAAGCUCCAAAUUGACAGUGUAAUUCUAGAUCAUCACAGGGCUCUCAAAACCAUGAAGUAGGUCUGAUCCCCCCCACCAGGUUUCCACUCCCCUCUCUUCAGGAGGUGGAGGCAAGUUUUUGCCUCUGGUUUCAAAACGUCCUACAAUUUCCUAUCUUUUCUUGUGGUAAUAGAAGUAGUGGUUAAAGCUAGAGUCAGAUUUUGGCUUUCCCUCUCUGCCUCAGUUUCCUCAUCUGUAGAACGGACUUUCUUCAUGGGGACGUUGUGAGGAUUUAAUAAGCUAAUGUGCAAACACAGGGUCCCAAAUACAGGUAAGCUCUUAGCACAGGGCAAGUGGCUGUUGUUACUUAGAAGCGGUCCUGCAGCUCAAGGUCAGAGCUGGAGGCCUAGAGGGAAGACUAGAUGAGCUUUCAGGGGCAGCAAUGCAGAGAGAAGACACCGGGGACCUGGCCUGGGGAUCCCACCACCUUCUAGGCUCAGGAACCACAGCGGAGAGUGAGAAGCUGCCGGAGAAGCAGGAGGAGGAUGGGGAUAAUAUGCUGCCAUAGAAACUGGAGGAGGAAGGCGUUCCCAGGGGGAGGAAGUGAUGGAUAAUGUCAAGUGUCAUAUAAGAGAGGUUGGGGGUGGGGAGGGCAGGAGAGGAAUAAACCAGAGCCUUCAAGUUCAGUUUCCUACAUGGCUUGGGAAACCCUAAAUCUGAAUUCCAGUCUCCGCUGUGAAGCUAACUGGCUGUGUGACCGACGCAAGGGAGGAGUUGCCCUCUCGGAGCAUCUGUUGUCUCUUAGACCUAAAACAAGGGAAUGGGUCAGUCUCUGAUGUUUCAUCUCUAAAAAGAGUCCCAAUUUUGCUGGGUUCUUGGCCGGUUGCUAGCAGUGUAAUCUUAGGCAGGUCACUUCACCUCCUAGAGUCCCGUUGGAAGGCUAGAGAUCCGGCAAGUGAGGCGCCUACCUAAGUGCCUGGCACACAGUAGGUCCCUGACACAGAAUCAUUCUGCGACAAUAGUGGGGAGCCAGAGGCAGCUAAGGAGGCUUGCCUAGCUUGGAAUUUGAAACGCUCCUCAAGGUGGAGGAAGCCACCAGCGUCUGGGGAGGACUUAGAGGAGCCACAGUCCAGGCUAGGCUCCCCCCACUAGGCCUCUGCCCAAAGACCAGCCCCUCCGUUUUCAGCAGCAGAUCCUUAACCCCUGGCCUCUGGCUGCCUUCUCCGCCUGGACCUAAGGCAGAUCCAGGCUGGGAACCAGCUCAGAGGCUCCAGAGCCCCUAGGAAGUAACCCCUGCACCUCCCCCCCCCCCCCCACUUCCAGGUCCUGGUCCUGGUCCCAUUGCACCCAUACAAAACACUACACACAGCUCUCCCUUAUUUAUUUACUCGUUAUUAUGCAUUCCUUUAUUUCAUCCCUGGGCACCCUGGGGAGUGGCCCCCAGCUCUGAGCCUACCCAGGCUGGAGCCCGGAGGAGGCCGCAGACGGCACGGCCCACCCUGCGGUUCUGGUGGCAGGUGGCCUGUGUCUUGGGACUUCAGACCCGGGCCAGGGGCUGCGGAGAGAGCCUUUGCCGAUCCCGACAGACUAGAGCCCCAGGCCGGGUGUGGCCCAGGUUCCAGCCCCAUCACUAGCCUGGCCGGGAGCCCACCUGGCUCGGGGUGCUCUCCUGCACCCCCCGCCCCGGGAGAGGCCAUGUAGUAAUGCCAGCAGGUGAUGCUCGGCCCCGCCUCGGUCCUCAGCUGCUUUCCACAGGUAGUUCACUUCAUCUUCACAGCCUGACUGCGAGGCAGGCGCUAUUAGGAUUCCUGCCCCGACCUCCCAGAUGAGGAAGCUGAGGCCCCGAGAGGGACGGGCCUGCCCCUGGCCACCCGGCUCGUCCGUGGCUGUGCCGGUGGGGACCCCGCCUUAGCUCUGUCAGGUCCACUUCUAAUGCCUUCCUCCUCCUGCUUCCCCCGAGGAAACCAAUUACACGGAGGGUACCGGGGAGACCCCUGUGCCCCCCAUAGACCCGGACGGAACCUUCCUGGGGCUCGGGUCUGUGCCUCCUCACCUUGGCUGCAGAAGCGCGGGGCCAGCCUCCCAAGAAGCUGCCGUGACCUUGGCCGGGCCCUCUCCCCAUCCCCUCCCUCCCUGCCUUGGAAGACUUGCUUGUUCCAAGAAUUUUUCAGCUCCCCGCUAUGACUUUGCUGUGUGACCCUGGGUAAGUCACUUCACCCUCGGAGCCCCCCUUUCCCGGUCGCCGGUGACCACACACACAAGGAGUUGUGAAGAUUUACAAAAAGGUUUGUCUGUUUUGGUCACACAAGUGUUCCCAGCAAAUGGCACUGCAGCCGGCACGCGGUAGUGAUCCCACCGAGUGGAUGGAUGAGUGGAGGGCCUUGUGCAGAGGAAGUGUGCAAAAAGUGGAGCUUUUAACGUGACCUAACGUUUUAGGUUGUACCUGCCCUGACCCACAUCUCUUAACACUGUAGGUGGGUCAGGGGCAAAGGACUUUGCCUUGUAACUAUCUUGACUUUCAGAAGAUGGGACAGUGUGCACUGGAAACACUGGAGGAGUUUUCAAGAGGACGUCUUCUCUCCAAGUACUUUAUGCAUAGCCGUCCCCUUUUGUCCUCACCAAGCCUGCCCUCCCUGGUAUCCAAGAGAGGGAAAGAACGAUCCCUGGGUGGCACUGGCCUGGGCCUUCUGGCCAGAACAUUUGAGUCAAGGGGACGGAGUCCCUUGGCAGGUGUCGAUGCAGGUGACACCCACCUGAUGGCGCUCAUCUCCCAGAGUUUCCCGUUGGACUAAGUCCAAAGCUAGGAGAUGGAAUAUGGGUUUGACUCUGUCUCUACUUCCUUGCUGUGUGACUUUGGGCAGGUCUCUGCCCCUCUCUGGGCCUCUGCACAAUGCAGGGACAGAGGUAAGAGUUGAUGGGUUCUGAGGGCUUUGCCAUCCUGGGAGAGAACAGAGAACUUUCCCUCAUGUUCUUUGAUCCCAAAAACAGACAUCAACUGGUAAGAUCCACUGGGCAUUUGCCUUGAGGCAGAGGAAAGGGCACCUGGGGGGGUCUGGUAUUUGUAUUUGAAGCUGCCCUACUUUGGGGGGUGAGGGGGACAAGCAUGUCAAAAUGAAGCUUGACUCAAACACCUGGCUUUUUGCCUACCCUACGUCCUAACUUGGUACCAAGGACCAACCUUCCAUUUUCCCAAUAAAGAAAAGCACUAUUCCUGGUGUCCACA
rnacentral:lncRNA from 1 species